AGUGAAUCCAUAUAAAUAUAUAUUUCAAUAUUUAUACAUAAAAAGGACAUACAUUUUUUUGUUUGCAAAAUUUUAAAAGUGUAAACCAAUGAUUGAACAUUUACAAGAAGUGUUAAGCUUCAGGCUGAUUGACAUCUAUACAACAAAACAUAGACCAAAGUAAGCCAGAAUUAAAACUUGGUUUUGAAUGACAGAAAAUCAUUUCACAGACUUUCAACCAACGUGGGAUUUGGGGCAACACAAGAAACAAACUUUCAAGAUGGGAUAAAAUAGGAUUGUUAAGAACAUUGUCUUAAUUAUUAUUAAUUUGAGUUAAUGUUUUGUUUUUAAAAAACUUUGAAAAUAUGAUGGAAAAAAAAAGGGGGGGGGGG